rnacentral:rRNA from 1 species
GAUGAACGCUGGCGGCGUGCCUAAUACAUGCAAGUCGAGCGAACAGAUGAGGAGCUUGCUCCUCUGACGUUAGCGGCGGACGGGUGAGUAACACGUGGAUAACCUACCUAUAAGACUGGGAUAACUUCGGGAAACCGGAGCUAAUACCGGAUAAUAUAUUGAACCGCAUGGUUCAAUAGUGAAAGACGGUUUUGCUGUCACUUAUAGAUGGAUCCGCCCCGCAUUAGCUAGUUGGUAAGGUAACGGCUUACCAAGGCAACGAUGCGUAGCCGACCUGAGAGGGUGAUCGGCCACACUGGAACUGAGACACGGUCCAGACUCCUACGGGAGGCAGCAGUAGGGAAUCUUCCGCAAUGGGCGAAAGCUUGACGGAGCAACGCCGCGUGAGUGAUGAAGGUCUUCGGAUCGUAAAACUCUGUUAUUAGGGAAGAACAAAUGUGUAAGUAACUAUGCACGUCUUGACGGUACCUAAUCAGAAAGCCACGGCUAACUACGUG